UACGUAGGGUGCAAGCGUUGUCCGGAAUUAUUGGGCGUAAAGAGCGUGUAGGCGGUCCGGUAAGUCGGCUGUGAAAGUCCAGGGCUCAACCCUGGGAUGCCGGUCGAUACUGCCGGACUAGAGUUCGGAAGAGGCGAGUGGAAUUCCCCGGUGUAGCGGUGAAAUGCGCAGAUAUCGGGAGGAACACCUAUGGCGAAGGCAGCUCGCUGGGACGUUACUGACGCUGAGACGCGAAAGCGUGGGGAGCAAACAGG
rnacentral:rRNA from 1 species